UAACCACUCAAGCCUCGCUUGGUGUUGGGGUUCGCAGCUCUGCGGCCUCUAAAAUCAGUGGCGGUGCCUGUAGGCUCUGAGCGUAGUAAUUCUCCUCGCUAUAGAGUCCUAUUGGGUUCCCAGCCAAAACCCCCAUAUUUUUUAUA
rnacentral:misc_RNA from 2 species